GCCCGCCUAGCUCAAUCGGAUAGAGCGUCAGACUUUUACGGUCUGGGUGGGUUCGCCGCUCAACGGUUUAAUCUGAAGGCUGCGGGUUCGACCCCCGCGGUGGGCU
rfam:Postia placenta Mad-698-R POSPLscaffold_77_Cont3939, whole genome shotgun sequence.